rnacentral:rRNA from 1 species
AUUGAACGCUGGCGGCAGGCCUAACACAUGCAAGUCGAGCGGAGCGGCGGACGGGUGAGCAAUGCCUAGGAAUCUGCCUGGUAGUUGGGGAUAACGUCCGGAAACGGGCGCUAAUACCGCAUACUAUCAGAUGAGCCUAGGUCGGAUUAGCUAGUUGGUGGGGUAAAGGCCUACCAAGGCGACGAUCCGUAACUGGUCUGAGAGGAUGAUCAGUCACACUGGAACUGGGACACCGUCCAGAGGCCUACUGGAGGCAGCAGUGGGGAAUAUUGGACAAUGGGGUAAAGCCUGGUCCAGCCAUGCCGCGUGGGUGAAGCAGGCCUUCGGAUUAUCAAGUCCUUUACGGUAGGAGGCGUUGCCAACAGACUAAGUGCCCGCGAACUUCGUGCCAGCAGCCGCGGUAAUAC